rnacentral:snoRNA from 1 species
GAGACCAUACUUUCAGGGAUCAUGUUUAUAGUUACUAGAGAUGUUUCUCUGAUCGUGCAGAGGACCCUAAGCCACGAGGACGAACCAGAGGAUCCUCUGCGAAGCUGGUUCUAGGGACUGCUUUCACAACUACCUUUUACCACUGAUGGUCGUUCUCUUCCUUCAGAAGGGUGUGG